UGGGGAAUAUUGGACAAUGGGCGAAAGCCUGAUCCAGCCAUGCCGCGUGUGUGAAGAAGGUCUUCGGAUUGUAAAGCACUUUAAGUUGGGAGGAAGGGCAUUAACCUAAUACGUUAGUGUUUUGACGUUACCGACAGAAUAAGCACCGGCUAACUCUGUGCCAGCAGCCGCGGUAAUACAGAGGGUGCAAGCGUUAAUCGGAAUUACUGGGCGUAAAGCGCGCGUAGGUGGUUUGUUAAGUUGGAUGUGAAAUCCCCGGGCUCAACCUGGGAACUGCAUUCAAAACUGACUGACUGGAGUAUGGUAGAGGGUGGUGGAAUUUCCUGUGUAGCGGUGAAAUGCGUAGAUAUAGGAAGGAACACCAGUGGCGAAGGCGACCACCUGGACUAAUACUGACACUGAGGUGCGAAAGCGUGGGGAGCAAACA
rnacentral:rRNA from 1 species